rnacentral:tRNA from 2 species
GCAGAGAUGGCUCAGUGGUUAAGAGCACUGACUGCUCUUUUACAGGACCUGGGUUCAAAUCCCAGCACCUGUA